rnacentral:rRNA from 1 species
GACGGAGGAUGCAAGCGUUAUCCGGAAUGAUUGGGCGUAAAGCGUCCGCAGGUGGCAGUUCAAGUCUGCUGUCAAAGACCGGGGCUUAACUUCGGAAAGGCAGUGGAAACUGAACAGCUAGAGUAUGGUAGGGGCAGAGGGAAUUCCUGGUGUAGCGGUGAAAUGCGCAGAUAUCAGGAGGAACACCAAUUGCGAAGGCAGCUCGCUGGGACGUAACUGACGCUGAGACGCGAAAGCGUGGGGAGCAAACAGG